GCCUCGGUAGCGCUGUAGACUGCGCGUCAGUCUCUUAAUCUGAAGGUCGUGAAGUCGAUCCUCCCGCGGGGCA